rnacentral:rRNA from 1 species
UGGGGAAUAUUGCACAAUGGGCGCAAGCCUGAUGCAGCCAUGCCGCGUGUAUGAAGAAGGCCUUCGGGUUGUAAAGUACUUUCAGCGAGGAGGAAGGCGUUGUGGUUAAUAACCGCAGCGAUUGACGUUACUCGCAGAAGAAGCACCGGCUAACUCCGUGCCAGCAGCCGCGGUACUACGGAGGGUGCAAGCGUUAAUCGGAAUUACUGGGCGUAAAGCGCACGCAGGCGGUCUGUCAAGUCGGAUGUGAAAUCCCCGGGCUCAACCUGGGAACUGCAUCCGAAACUGGCAGGCUAGAGUCUUGUAGAGGGGGGUAGAAUUCCAGGUGUAGCGGUGAAAUGCGUAGAGAUCUGGAGGAAUACCGGUGGCGAAGGCGGCCCCCUGGACAAAGACUGACGCUCAGGUGCGAAAGCGUGGGGAGCAAACA